CCGGGACUCUAGCGGAACUGCCGGUGACAAACCGGAGGAAGGUGGGGAUGACGUCAAGUCAUCAUGGCCCUUACGGCCUGGGCUACACACGUGCUACAAUGGUCGGUACAAAGGGUUGCCAAGCCGCGAGGUGGAGCUAAUCCCAUAAAACCGAUCGUAGUCCGGAUCGCAGUCUGCAACUCGACUGCGUGAAGUCGGAAUCGCUAGUAAUCGUGAAUCAGAAUGUCACGGUGAAUACGUUCCCGGGCCUU
rnacentral:rRNA from 1 species